CCCUCCCACCUACUCCCCUAC
rnacentral:misc_RNA from 1 species